rnacentral:rRNA from 1 species
UACGGAGGAUGCGUGCGUUAUCCGGAUUUAUUGGGUUUAAAGGGUGCGUAGGCGGAUUUUUAAGUCAGCGGUAAAAUGUCCGGGCUCAACCCGGGCCGGCCGUUGAAACUGGGGAUCUUGAGUGGGCGAGAAGUAUGCGGAAUGCGUGGUGUAGCGGUGAAAUGCAUAGAUAUCACGCAGAACUCCGAUUGCGAAGGCAGCAUACCGGCGCCCGACUGACGCUGAGGCACGAAAGCGUGGGGAUCGAACAGG